GCGGAAAUAGCUCAGUUGGUAGAGCAUAACCUUGCCAAGGUUAGGGUCGCGAGUUCGAGUCUCGUUUUCCGCUCAA
rnacentral:tRNA from 183 species